rnacentral:lncRNA from 1 species
GUGGCUGAUAGAUGUAGAGCUCUUAGCCACUGCGGUAUUUAGGAAAUGUUAAAAGAAUUCGAGGCGGCAUUCUUCCUGAGGGCCUUUUGUUAUUAGUUUGCUUCUCAAAGUCAUCUUCCGAAUCCUGCUGUGCUAAGCAUCACCCCAGCUCAGCCCAGUUAUGAAUUUCAUUGCUGAGCUCUGAGCCCAGGUUGUCUGGCAGCAUUUCUGAUUGUAAUCAGUUUUGUGCAGUGAGAUC